rnacentral:lncRNA from 1 species
AGGGGGGGUACAGAAGAGAAGAAGGAGGGGGGGGGGGUUUCCGUGUUACAGUAUAUGUCACUCGGUACAAGGCGACAUAGCGUAGUAGCAUAGUAGCUUGGUAAAACAGUAAUGGUUUGGACAGUGGUAUUAAUAAUAUUGUUGUUAAGAAAAAUAAGCCGCACAAAAUUGCUUAGUGUAAUUCUAGUCCAUGCGCCUACCCAUGGGCUUGGGUGAUCUGUGUAGUUUGGAGUAUACUUCCCCAUGCGUAACCUAAUCCGAUGCUCUUUCGCUUUGCGAACACAGUGGGUCAAUACAAUGCAUACAUAUUGCUAUGGUACAGGAAUGAGUCGCCUUACUCAGGGUUUGCCAAUCUCCACGCGUCCCACACAUCCCAUGCUGUCGUCCCUGUACGGGUGGGUGGGCAUAUAUUCGUGAAGCAACGCUCAUAGUGCCUCUGCUCAGCUAUUUCUGAGAGUACGUUUUGUAUCUUAGGAGUGGUUGGAGAUUUCCAGGCCCGCGCUAUAAGGCGUUGAGCCGUUAGUGUUGUGUGGAAAAUUAGUUUUUGGAGGUACUUAGGAGUGUGGGGGGGAGUGUGCAGUAGCAGGUACGUGAGCGGGUCUAGGGGCAGUGUAAGUUUCGUGAGGUCUUGUAGGAAGGAGUGCACUGCUUCCCAAAAGGGUUUUAUCAGUGAGCACGUCCACCAGAUGUGUAAAACUGAUCCGGUGUGCUUCCGACAUCUCCAGCAGGUGGAUGAAGCGGCGGGGUACAUUUUAGAAAGCCGCUCCGGGACCAUGUACCAUCUGUAAAUCAUUUUUUUGUUCUGCUCCAAUAACGGUGCUGAUUUAAGGAGGGUUUUGGGUGCGGUAGAUAAAGUGUUCCACUCUUUGUGAGUGAGCUCAAUGGUCAGAUCUUCUGCCCAUUGUCUAGCUGGCGUGGCCUCUGAGAGAGGGGUGAAGUCUAAUAGCAAUUGGUAACACGUGGAGAUUGGCUUACAGAGUGGGGGUAGUUUUUUAUUUAUACACAUUUUCUCCCAUGUUGUAAGUUGGUCGGUGGCUAUUUGGCUGGGCGGUACUUGUGUAGCUUGUUUGUGCAGGAAGGAAUGAAGUUGUCUGUAGGAAAAAUGAGAUGUCAGGGGGACACCGUGGAGUGAGUGUAGGGUGUGAAAGUCUAGGAGCUUUGAGUUAGCGUGGAAUUGGCCUAAGUAUUGGAGCCCCUUCUCCUGCCACGGUUUAGCGUAGAAGGUGGGAAUGCAGUAUGUGAGAGCCGCUGUCGGUGUGGCUGGGGACAGAGGGCCGCUGGAGGUCAGUUUAUGUCUGUGUGCGUCCCAAACUCGUAUGAGUAGGGCGAGUUGGGGAGGGAUAUCUUUUAGGGGGGGGCGAAGCUGUUGCGGGAGCCAUAGUAUGUGGGUGAUGUCAUACGGAGUCAUCAUGAGCUUCUCAAGCCUGACCCAUUGCGGGGGGCUUUGGUCAACAAAAUGGGGGAUGGCUGCUGCUAAUAUGGAUGCGUGGUAAUAGGUACGCACGUCAGGGACUGCUAAGCCUCCUGCUCUAGCUGGAGCUCGUAGGAGCUUCAUUGAGAUGCGGGGUUUACCCUUGUUCCAGAUGAAGUUGGUG